UACGUAGGGGGCAAGCGUUGUCCGGAAUCAUUGGGCGUAAAGAGCGUGUAGGCGGCCAGAUAGGUCCGUUGUGAAAACUCGAGGCUCAACCUCGAGACGCCGAUGGAAACCAUUUGGCUAGAGUCCGGAAGAGGAGAGUGGAAUUCCUGGUGUGGCGGUGAAAUGCGCAGAUAUCAGGAAGAACACCCGUGGCUAAGGCGGCUCUCUAGUACGGUACUGACGCUGAGACGCGAAAGCGUGGGGAGCGAACAGG
rnacentral:rRNA from 1 species